AAUUAGAGAUUACAUUCACAUUUUCGAAAAGGAAAAAAGAAAAAGUAGAAACUCCACACCGAUCGGUAAUAAUUUCUUGUUAAAGAUGGUUACAUAUUAUAGUAGGUAAAAUACACAAUUUUUUUGGAAAAAGAUGGUUGGUUAUAUUAGAAGAAAACGUACAACUGUAGCGAUACACAUUUUAAGGUUACAUGUUUUCAAAAGAGUUUGUUUCGUAGUCGUAGUCGUAGUCGUAGUCGUAGUCCUCGUCCUCACACAACCCAAAGUCAUAUAGCCGCACCCCCAAUGUUGCACCGGGAAAUCGCCAAACAAGGACCAAAUGAAAUGUAAAAACAAAAAAGACCAAGCGGUCAUGUAAGUUAGUGUGAAAAAAAUGAUUCCUUACAAUGACAGACGACUAGUCUGUUUGUGGACAAAGCGAGAUCAGAUCAAAGUCUUUUCCUUCAGACCAAGAGGACCAGAGAAUAUUUAAUACCAAUUUCUCGUAAAAAUGUGGCCACUAAAGCAAGAACUGUCAAAUAUCAAUAGGCCAUGGGAUAUUUUACCCAAACAAAGCCAUCAUCAUUCUCAGAGGAAAAAAAUCUAAAAAUCU